UCUAGAGAUAGAGCUUCCCCUUCGGGGGCAAAGUGACAGGUGGUGCAUGGUUGUCGUCAGCUCGUGUCGUGAGAUGUUGGGUUAAGUCCCGCAACGAGCGCAACCCUUAUUGUUAGUUGCCAUCAUUUAGUUGGGCACUCUAGCAAGACUGCCGGUGACAAACCGGAGGAAGGUGGGGAUGACGUCAAAUCAUCAUGCCCCUUAUGACCUGGGCUACACACGUGCUACAAUGGGAAGUACAACGAGUUGCGAAGU
rnacentral:rRNA from 2 species